rnacentral:rRNA from 1 species
UGACUGCGUACCUUUUGUAUAAUGGGUCAGCGACUUAUAUUCUGUAGCAAGGUUAACCGAAUAGGGGAGCCGGAGGGAAACCGAGUCUUAAUUGGGCGUUAAGUUGCAGGGUAUAGACCCGAAACCCGGUGAUCUAGCCAUGGGCAGGUUGAAGGUUGGGUAACACUAACUGGAGGACCGAACCGACUAAUGUUGAAAAAUUAGCGGAUGACCUGUGGCUGGGGGUGAAAGGCCAAUCAAACCGGGAGAUAGCUGGUUCUCCCCGAAAGCUAUUUAGGUAGCGCCUCGUGAAUUCAUCUCCGGGGGUAGAGCACUGUUUCGGCUAGGGGGCCAUCCCGGCUUACCAACCCGAUGCAAACUGCGAAUACCGGAGAAUGUUAUCACGGGAGACACACGGCGGGUGCUAACGUCCGUCGUGAAGAGGGAAACAACCCAGACCGCCAGCUAAGGUCCCAAAGUCAUGGUUAAGUGGGAAACGAUGUGGGAAGGCCCAGACAGCCAGGAUGUUGGCUUAGAAGCAGCCAUCAUUUAAAGAAAGCGUAAUAGCUCACUGGUCGAGUCGGCCUGCGCGGAAGAUGUAACGGGGCUAAACCAUGCACCGAAGCUGCGGCAGCGACACUCAGGUGUUGUUGGGUAGGGGAGCGUUCUGUAAGCCUGUGAAGGUGGCCUGUGAGGGUUGCUGGAGGUAUCAGAAGUGCGAAUGCUGACAUAAGUAACGAUAAAGCGGGUGAAAAGCCCGCUCGCCGGAAGACCAAGGGUUCCUGUCCAACGUUAAUCGGGGCAGGGUGAGUCGACCCCUAAGGCGAGGCCGAAAGGCGUAGUCGAUGGGAAACGGGUUAAUAUUCCCGUACUUGGUGUUACUGCGAAGGGGGGACGGAGAAGGCUAUGUUGGCCGGGCGACGGUUGUCCCGGUUUAAGCGUGUAGGUGUGUGUUCCAGGUAAAUCCGGUUCACUUUAACACUGAGGCGUGAUGACGAGGCACUACGGUGCUGAAGCAACAAAUGCCCUGCUUCCAGGAAAAGCCUCUAAGCAUCAGGUAACAUCAAAUCGUACCCCAAACCGACACAGGUGGUCAGGUAGAGAAUACCAAGGCGCUUGAGAGAACUCGGGUGAAGGAACUAGGCAAAAUGGUGCCGUAACUUCGGGAGAAGGCACGCUGACAUGUAGGUGAAGUGAUUUACUCACGGAGCUGAAGUCAGUCGAAGAUACCAGCUGGCUGCAACUGUUUAUUAAAAACACAGCACUGUGCAAACACGAAAGUGGACGUAUACGGUGUGACGCCUGCCCGGUGCCGGAAGGUUAAUUGAUGGGGUCAGCGCAAGCGAAGCUCCUGAUCGAAGCCCCGGUAAACGGCGGCCGUAACUAUAACGGUCCUAAGGUAGCGAAAUUCCUUGUCGGGUAAGUUCCGACCUGCACGAAUGGCGUAAUGAUGGCCAGGCUGUCUCCACCCGAGACUCAGUGAAAUUGAACUCGCUGUGAAGAUGCAGUGUACCCGCGGCAAGACGGAAAGACCCCGUGAACCUUUACUAUAGCUUGACACUGAACAUUGAGCCUUGAUGUGUAGGAUAGGUGGGAGGCUUUGAAGUGUGGACGCCAGUCUGCAUGGAGCCGACCUUGAAAUACCACCCUUUAAUGUUUGAUGUUCUAACGUGGACCCGUGAUCCGGGUUGCGGACAGUGUCUGGUGGGUAGUUUGACUGGGGCGGUCUCCUCCUAAAGAGUAACGGAGGAGCACGAAGGUUGGCUAAUCCUGGUCGGACAUCAGGAGGUUAGUGCAAUGGCAUAAGCCAGCUUGACUGCGAGCGUGACGGCGCGAGCAGGUGCGAAAGCAGGUCAUAGUGAUCCGGUGGUUCUGAAUGGAAGGGCCAUCGCUCAACGGAUAAAAGGUACUCCGGGGAUAACAGGCUGAUACCGCCCAAGAGUUCAUAUCGACGGCGGUGUUUGGCACCUCGAUGUCGGCUCAUCACAUCCUGGGGCUGAAGUAGGUCCCAAGGGUAUGGCUGUUCGCCAUUUAAAGUGGUACGCGAGCUGGGUUUAGAACGUCGUGAGACAGUUCGGUCCCUAUCUGCCGUGGGCGCUGGAGAACUGAGGGGGGCUGCUCCUAGUACGAGAGGACCGGAGUGGACGCAUCACUGGUGUUCGGGUUGUCAUGCCAAUGGCACUGCCCGGUAGCUAAAUGCGGAAGAGAUAAGUGCUGAAAGCAUCUAAGCACGAAACUUGCCCCGAGAUGAGUUCU